CAUAAUAAGCGGAAUUCGACAUAAAGUGACUAAUUUCUGUCUGUUUUGAUUAGCAGAUAUUUAUUUAUAUCAUCAUCAUUAUUAUCAUUCCAAUUAGUUGAAAACUGGGCCUAUUUCUGGCCGAGCAAACGAGGCCAGGUUCCUUUACAAGGGCUUCUGGGCCGGCCAUAUUGGGCCCGUUGCCGGUCCCUUCCGCCAGCCGCCGAAUUCGAAGAGGGUAAUCGUAAUUGGAGCAACCUAGCAUCUCAGCCGCUCGUUCUAUCCAUCACGCAGAACUUCGACCGUCGGAUCUCUUUCUCCUGCUCCUAUAAAAUGACUGCCAGGUCCUCAUCUCACGCUCGGUCACAUCGUCUCCUCCUCAUAAGCUGAGUCGGCGCACCCUCCGUGCGGCCACUAGGGUUCCAGAGCUCGCGCUUCGUUUCCAAUAUUCCUAAGCCUUUUCUCUCUCGCGAGGUAGACUGGAGGAGGUCUGUUGCAGCGGCGGUGAUGAGUCCUACAGACCUGUAAUGACUUGCGAAUAUGAUCGCAGCUCUUUAUGAACAUCUAAGGGACUGAGUCACGUAACAGAUCUCCCAAUCCUGUCAGAAAAAUUCGUUUUAAAUUUAGCUAAAAGUAUCGAUUAUUUUAUUAUUGCUGGGUGUAUUUUUCUUGAUUGUUCGUUCCGUCCUAGGUUAGGAUUGGCUUCAAUCAUAGUAUAGUGAUGGCUUGCACUGCUAAUACUUGAGUAGGUGUUUGUCCAUUUCGUUGAAGCCGAUAUUAUUGUUCCCCUCGCUAUCCGGUGCUUCAUCGAUGUUGUAAUCGGACGUCGGGGAACUACAGUUCUUCAGGAAA